UAAUACCUGGUUUUCGUCCCUUGCCGGAGCAAAGGUGGGGUUUAGUCCCUAACCUUUGCCAAAACGUUUGGUUUUGGUCCCUCCGGAGCUCUGGGUCAACGCCGGAGCUCCGGUGGCCCAUGUGGCAUGGCCACGUCACUUUAAUGAGCCCAGCUGGAAUUUAUUUUUAUUUUUCAUUUAAAUUAUAAUUUUUAUAAUUUCAUAACUUAAUUAAAUAAAAACAUUAAACAGGGAAAUUCAUAAGCAUAAAAAUCUUUGCAGAUCCAAACCACCUCCAUCUUCAUUGCUUCUGUUGUUACCUUUCCCUGUCAAAAUCAAACCCAUUCCCUUUGAAUAUUCACAUUACCUAGAAUCCAAUCCCACAAACCAAGAUGACAGCAACCCAAACAAAACACAAACACGCACAUGAUGUCCAGUAAGGCAAAGAGGAAAAGAAAAAGAAAAAAAUGCACACGCAGGUGCCUUUGAGAAAACUGCAACAAAUCCCCAUCUUCUGCAGCUUAAUUGCUGCCCCAUCGAAGAAGCUAAGUGAAAAAGGAUCGAUAGAGGGAGAACGAAGAAAAGGACGGUGGAGGAAGACAUGUAUUGGAUCCGGCGAAUCAUCAAGUUGGAGCCACGAAGCACCGCUCCACUUCGCCGUCAC
rnacentral:lncRNA from 1 species